rnacentral:tRNA from 1 species
GGAGAGAUGUCCGAGCGGCUGAAGGAGCACGACUGGAAAUCGUGUGUGCUGUUAAUAGCGGCACCGAGGGUUCAAAUCCCUCUCUCUCCGCCA